GGGUUGUGAGGUUAAGCGACUAAGCGUACACGGUGGAUGCCCUGGCAGUCAGAGGCGAUGAAGGACGUGCUAAUCUGCGAUAAGCGUCGGUAAGGUGAUAUGAACCGUUAUAACCGGCGAUUUCCGAAUGGGGAAACCCAGUGUGAUUCGUCACACUAUCAUUAACUGAAUCCAUAGGUUAAUGAGGCGAACCGGGGGAACUGAAACAUCUAAGUACCCCGAGGAAAAGAAAUCAACCGAGAUUCCCCCAGUAGCGGCGAGCGAACGGGGAGCAGCCCAGAGCCUGAAUCAGUGUGUGUGUUAGUGGAAGCGUCUGGAAAGGCGCGCGAUACAGGGUGACAGCCCCGUACACAAAAAUGCACAUGCUGUGAGCUCGAUGAGUAGGGCGGGACACGUGGUAUCCUGUCUGAAUAUGGGGGGACCAUCCUCCAAGGCUAAAUACUCCUGACUGACCGAUAGUGAACCAGUACCGUGAGGGAAAGGCGAAAAGAACCCCGGCGAGGGGAGUGAAAAAGAACCUGAAACCGUGUACGUACAAGCAGUGGGAGCACGCUUAGGCGUGUGACUGCGUACCUUUUGUAUAAUGGGUCAGCGACUUAUAUUCUGUAGCAAGGUUAACCGAAUAGGGGAGCCGAAGGGAAACCGAGUCUUAACUGGGCGUUAAGUUGCAGGGUAUAGACCCGAAACCCGGUGAUCUAGCCAUGGGCAGGUUGAAGGUUGGGUAACACUAACUGGAGGACCGAACCGACUAAUGUUGAAAAAUUAGCGGAUGACUUGUGGCUGGGGGUGAAAGGCCAAUCAAACCGGGAGAUAGCUGGUUCUCCCCGAAAGCUAUUUAGGUAGCGCCUCGUGAAUUCAUCUCCGGGGGUAGAGCACUGUUUCGGCAAGGGGGUCAUCCCGACUUACCAACCCGAUGCAAACUGCGAAUACCGGAGAAUGUUAUCACGGGAGACACACGGCGGGUGCUAACGUCCGUCGUGAAGAGGGAAACAACCCAGACCGCCAGCUAAGGUCCCAAAGUCAUGGUUAAGUGGGAAACGAUGUGGGAAGGCCCAGACAGCCAGGAUGUUGGCUUAGAAGCAGCCAUCAUUUAAAGAAAGCGUAAUAGCUCACUGGUCGAGUCGGCCUGCGCGGAAGAUGUAACGGGGCUAAACCAUGCACCGAAGCUGCGGCAGCGACGCUUAUGCGUUGUUGGGUAGGGGAGCGUUCUGUAAGCCUGUGAAGGUGUGCUGUGAGGCAUGCUGGAGGUAUCAGAAGUGCGAAUGCUGACAUAAGUAACGAUAAAGCGGGUGAAAAGCCCGCUCGCCGGAAGACCAAGGGUUCCUGUCCAACGUUAAUCGGGGCAGGGUGAGUCGACCCCUAAGGCGAGGCCGAAAGGCGUAGUCGAUGGGAAACAGGUUAAUAUUCCUGUACUUGGUGUUACUGCGAAGGGGGGACGGAGAAGGCUAUGUUGGCCGGGCGACGGUUGUCCCGGUUUAAGCGUGUAGGCUGGUUUUCCAGGCAAAUCCGGAAAACUAAGGCUGAGGCGUGAUGACGAGGCACUACGGUGCUGAAGCAACAAAUGCCCUGCUUCCAGGAAAAGCCUCUAAGCAUCAGGUAACAUCAAAUCGUACCCCAAACCGACACAGGUGGUCAGGUAGAGAAUACCAAGGCGCUUGAGAGAACUCGGGUGAAGGAACUAGGCAAAAUGGUGCCGUAACUUCGGGAGAAGGCACGCUGAUAUGUAGGUGAGGUCCCUCGCGGAUGGAGCUGAAAUCAGUCGAAGAUACCAGCUGGCUGCAACUGUUUAUUAAAAACACAGCACUGUGCAAACACGAAAGUGGACGUAUACGGUGUGACGCCUGCCCGGUGCCGGAAGGUUAAUUGAUGGGGUCAGCGCAAGCGAAGCUCUUGAUCGAAGCCCCGGUAAACGGCGGCCGUAACUAUAACGGUCCUAAGGUAGCGAAAUUCCUUGUCGGGUAAGUUCCGACCUGCACGAAUGGCGUAAUGAUGGCCAGGCUGUCUCCACCCGAGACUCAGUGAAAUUGAACUCGCUGUGAAGAUGCAGUGUACCCGCGGCAAGACGGAAAGACCCCGUGAACCUUUACUAUAGCUUGACACUGAACAUUGAGCCUUGAUGUGUAGGAUAGGUGGGAGGCUUUGAAGUGUGGACGCCAGUCUGCAUGGAGCCGACCUUGAAAUACCACCCUUUAAUGUUUGAUGUUCUAACGUUGACCCGUAAUCCGGGUUGCGGACAGUGUCUGGUGGGUAGUUUGACUGGGGCGGUCUCCUCCUAAAGAGUAACGGAGGAGCACGAAGGUUGGCUAAUCCUGGUCGGACAUCAGGAGGUUAGUGCAAUGGCAUAAGCCAGCUUGACUGCGAGCGUGACGGCGCGAGCAGGUGCGAAAGCAGGUCAUAGUGAUCCGGUGGUUCUGAAUGGAAGGGCCAUCGCUCAACGGAUAAAAGGUACUCCGGGGAUAACAGGCUGAUACCGCCCAAGAGUUCAUAUCGACGGCGGUGUUUGGCACCUCGAUGUCGGCUCAUCACAUCCUGGGGCUGAAGUAGGUCCCAAGGGUAUGGCUGUUCGCCAUUUAAAGUGGUACGCGAGCUGGGUUUAGAACGUCGUGAGACAGUUCGGUCCCUAUCUGCCGUGGGCGCUGGAGAACUGAGGGGGGCUGCUCCUAGUACGAGAGGACCGGAGUGGACGCAUCACUGGUGUUCGGGUUGUCAUGCCAAUGGCACUGCCCGGUAGCUAAAUGCGGAAGAGAUAAGUGCUGAAAGCAUCUAAGCACGAAACUUGCCCCGAGAUGAGUUCUCCCUGACUCCUUGAGAGUCCUGAAGGAACGUUGAAGACGACGACGUUGAUAGGCCGGGUGUGUAAGCGCAGCGAUGCGUUGAGCUAACCGGUACUAAUGAACCGUGAGGCUUAACCUUACAACGCCGAAG
rnacentral:rRNA from 1 species